AACACUGCGGUCUAGCAGUUAGAACGCUGGGCUUGUAAUCCUGGGGUCCCGGGUUCGAUUCCCGGCGGUGCUC
rfam:Zootermopsis nevadensis contig14706, whole genome shotgun sequence.